rnacentral:rRNA from 1 species
GACGAACGCUGGCGGCGUGCCUAAUACAUGCAAGUAGAACGCACAGUUUAUACCGUAGCUUGCUACACCAUAGACUGUGAGUUGCGAACGGGUGAGUAACGCGUAGGUAACCUGCCUGGUAGCGGGGGAUAACUAUUGGAAACGAUAGCUAAUACCGCAUAAUAUUAAUUAUUGCAUGAUAAUUAAUUGAAAGGUGCAAUUGCACCACUACCAGAUGGACCUGCGUUGUAUUAGCUAGUAGGUGAGGUAACGGCUCACCUAGGCGACGAUACAUAGCCGACCUGAGAGGGUGAUCGGCCACACUGGGACGUAGACACGGCCCAGACUCCUACGGGAGGCAGCAGUAGGGAAUCUUCGGCAAUGGACGAAAGUCUGACCGAGCAACGCCGCGUGAGUGAAGAAGGUUGUCGGAUCGUAAAGCUCUGUUGUAAGAGAAGAACGGGUGUGAGAGUGGAAAGUUCACACUGUGACGGUAUCUUACCAGAAAGGGACGGCUAACUACGUG